rnacentral:lncRNA from 1 species
GUGAAUGUAUAUAUGUAUUUCAGUGUGGUUGCAUGGUACUUGUAUGUCUAUUUGGGGAGGAAGUGAAAAAGAUGGCUAAAUGGAAAUCUAAAGUUGAUCAUCACCCAAAGGGAGUUAGACCUAACUUUACUGAGGAGGGGGGGGGGGUUUAGAGAAAGGGAUUGGUAUUGGUAGCUACCAGCCACUGCUUUCUCCUUUUCUCUCUGGGAUAGCCUCUGGCCAUGUCUCUGCCUUCUCUUUCUCCUCUCCCUCUAUUCCUUCACUCCUACCUCCUCUUCUUUCUCCUCUUCUCUGUCCUCCUCCUCCUCCUCUCCCUCUAUUCCUUCAUUCCCACCUCCUCUUCUUUCUCCUCUUCUCUGUCCUCCUCCUCCUCCUCCUCUCCCUCUAUUCCUUCAUUCCCACCUCCUCUUUCUCCUCUUCUCUGUCCUCAUCCUCCUCCUUCUCCUCCUCCUCCUCCUCUCCCUCUAUUCCUUCACUCCCACCUCCUCUUUCUCCUCUUCUCUGUCCUCCUCCUCUCCCUCUAUUCCUUCACUCCCACCUCCUCUUUCUCCUCUUCUUCCUCCCUCACCUCCUUCUUUCUUCAUCCUCUUCUUCCUAGAGCUGAGAGAAGGUUCUGUUGCUCCCUCAGCACUGCUAGGCAUGGCUCUGGGAUUGGCUCCCUAUGUCUGGGAAGCAAAUGUCAGAUUGUAUUCAUGUAGGAGAAGCGUUGACACCUCGUGGGUAAUGAAGAGAGAAAAUACAUCAGGGGUGUUUAGGGGAGAUGACAGCUGAUCACAGAGGCCUCCUCCUUCCCCAGAUGUAUUUUGUCAACUGAUCACUCAGGGCAGAGCAGAGAGGAAGCUCUCAUUCCUCCUGAGCUUCCCUGGGUACUCUGGAGAGAUUGGGGGCUUUUUGAUCCUGGACUCAUCUAUCUGAUCUUAGCUACCCUCUUGCUACUCUUACCUAAUGAACCAGGGAGCAAGGAGGCUUAGUGAUAUCUCCUGGGAAGGGAGGGCCUUUCUUCUCCCUAUUCCAUCUACCACCCCCCUUAGAAAAAAU